UCCCGUGAGGCGGAUUCGAACCACCGACCUAAGGAUCUACAGUCCUCCGCUCUACCAACUGAGCUAUCACGGG
rnacentral:tRNA from 11 species